AAAGGGGCUUCGGCUCCGAGUAAAGUGGCGCACGGGUGAGUAACACGUGGGUAACCUGCCUCUAAGAUUGGGAUAACUCGUCGAAAGAUGAGCUAAUACCGGAUAAGACCACAGUUCCCGCGGGAACCGGGGUCAAAGGUAGCCUCCGCUUGCAAGCUAUCACUUAGAGAUGGGCCUGCGCACCAUUAGCUAGUUGGUAGGGUAACGGCCUACCAAGGCAAAGAUGGUUAGCUGGUCUGAGAGGAUGAUCAGCCACACUGGAACUGAGACACGGUCCAGACUCCUACGGGAGGCAGCAGUGGGGAAUAUUGCGCAAUGGGCGAAAGCCUGACGCAGCAACGCCGCGUGAGUGAUGAAGGCCUUCGGG
rnacentral:rRNA from 1 species